UCAGGAUGAACGCUAGCGGCAGGCUAACACAUGCAAGUCGAGGGGCAUCGGGAGUAGCAAUACUGCCGGCGACCGGCGCAAGGGUGCGUAACGCGUGAGCAACAUGCCCGUAUCAGGGGGGAUAAUCCAUGGAAACGUGGUCUAAUACCCCAUAGUAAUUAUGUAAGGCAUCUUAUAUAAUUUAAAGCUUUGGUGGAUACGGAUUGGCUCGCGUGACAUUAGCUGGAUGGUAAGGUAACGGCUUACCAUGGCUACGAUGUCUAGGGGUUCUGAGAGGAAGGUCCCCCACACUGGAACUGAGACACGGUCCAGACUCCUACGGGAGGCAGCAGUGAGGAAUAUUGGACAAUGGAUGGAAAUCUGAUCCAGCCAUGCCGCGUGCAAGGGAAGACGGCCCUAUGGGUUGUAAACUGCUCUUGUAUGGGAGCAAUAAGGGCUACGUGUAGUCCGAUGAGAGUACCAUACGAAUAAGCACCGGCUAACUCCGUGCCAGCCGCUGC
rnacentral:rRNA from 1 species